GGCAAUGACCUUAACUGGCCUUUGGGAUAAGUGUCAAUUAUAGAUAUUAGAUGUAUUUUGUUUAGAGUGUAAACAGUUGUAUUCAAUAAAUAUGAACUGGGUUAUAAUUUCUUAUGUUUACGCGAAUGUUAGACAUUGAACUAUUUACAGAUUUCAUCGCGGUUAUUUAUAUUAUUUUCUCUUGACGUCUCGAAGACUGCAGCUUUCAUGGUCAUGGUCGUCAACUGUGGGUCAAAGUGUUUCUUUCUGUUCUUCUUUUCCUCCUACAAGGUUAACAGACGACAGGCCGCUUCUAACAGGGAAGAGACCAUAAAGACGAAACCACAAAAGGUGGGUACACCAGGUUUCCAAUGCGUUGACUGUCUCUAUUAAUGAAGCGCUUCACCAGGCCGAAGACCGAAGCCGAUGAAGAUGUAUCACUAUGAAGAUAAUUGAAAGUCACGAUCUUCAAUAAUGAGGAACCGACUGGAGAGAGAAAGAAUAUGAAUUGAUAAUAACUUGAAAAUGAAAUGAUUUUGUAAACAGAUGCAGAGACUAAGCUAUGCGUGUUUAAAUAAAACUGUCAUAUUUUACAAA